UACGAGGGGUGCAAGCGUUAAUCGGAAUUACUGGGCGUAAAGCGUACGUAGGCGGUUGAUUAAGUUGGAUGUGAAAGCCCCGGGCUCAACCUGGGAAUUGCAUUCAAAACUGGUCGACUAGAGUAUGUGAGAGGGGGGUAGAAUUCCAAGUGUAGCGGUGAAAUGCGUAGAGAUUUGGAGGAAUACCAGUGGCGAAGGCGGCCCCCUGGCACAAUACUGACGCUGAGGUACGAAAGCGUGGGGAGCAAACAGG
rnacentral:rRNA from 1 species